GCAGGAGGCAGAGCUGCUGCGAGAAGAAGACCCAGGAGAUCUGGGGCAGCGAGCUGUGCGUCUGGCAGCGCAGGUCCAGCAGCGUGGGCCCCAGGAAGGCGAUGCACAGGCCGAAGCUGAAGAAGACGCUCCAGUAGGUACUGGUCCAACCUCACAGCGGCACCCCUGCCUCUGCUCUGUCCCUCCCUGGACAGUGAGCCCCAGAGUGGGGAAGUCCCGGAGUCCCGUGGCUCACCACUCUAGACGGAGUCUUGCCAUGUUGCCCAGGCUGGUGUCAAACUUUUGGCCUCAAGCAAUCCUCCCACCUCAGCUGGGAUUACGAGCAUGAGCAACCAUGCCCAACCUGACAUUUUCACUAUGUACACUCUUGUACCUUUUGAAUUAUGGAAGACAUGAAUGUGUUUUCUAUUUUAAAUAAACUCUCAGGAAACCACUUGUCAAACUUCUGCUUGCUACAGAAUUGCUUGAGGAGAGAAUUUCAAAUGCAGAUUCACAGAGUUCAUCCCCCAGGGAUUCGGACUUUGGAGGUUUGGGGACUGUGAUCCCUGGGGAAGGAGGGAGCUGGAAUUCCUGCUGAUGGAGAAGUAGCUGAGAUCUUAAGAAGCUGAGCGGAAGAAAAGAUUACAUCCUAGCCGCCUCUGAGACGCUGAGCUCCUGGGAGUGGGGUCUAAGUCAGGGUCAGUGCUUUUAGGUGACCAGAAGGCAAGGAUUUCCUAGUCCCUGGAAACCAGACACCCAUCCUCCAUUCAAAUGAGUGAGGUGGAGCGUCCAUGUCAGAGGCUACACCUGCCAGGAGGCAGCUGCUCAGGGUCUCACUCCAUUUCCCAGGCUGGAUGGUAGUGGCAUGAUCACUGUUCACUGUGGCUUCGAUCCAGGCUUAGGUGAUCCUCCUACCUCAGCCUCCUGAGUAGCUGAGACUACAGGCAUCAGCAAUCAAGCCCAGCUAAUUUUUUUUUUGUAUUUAUUAUAGAGACGGGGUCUCACUAUGUUGCCCAGGCUGAUCUCAAACUCCUGGGCUUAAGCAAUCUGCCUGCCUUGGCAUCCCAAAGUGCCAGAAUUACAGAUGUGAGCUGCCACCCCCAGCCCAUAGCUUACUUCUGAUGGAGAGGUCCAUCCCUGACCAGGCAGUCCCCCACCCUAUGCCAUCACAUUCCUCUCCCCUGCCACCACCCUGCCCCUGCCUUAUUUUGUCUCAUCGCACUUAUCUCCCCUUGACAUGCCUGUUUAUUUGGAUAAUGUCUUAUAUCUUCCACUGGAGCAUAAGCUCUAUGAGAAUAGGGGUUGGCCUUCCUGUUCAUGGGUGUAUCCUCAGUGCCUAGCACAGCACCAGGUGGACAGUGGGUUCUUGGUAAAACCUGUUGAAAUCAAGGCCAUCUCUGCCAGCAGGUCUGAGCUUCUGGAAGGCAGGGGUGGAAUGUCAUGCAUCUUGGUGUCUUGGUGUCCAGCACAGGGCCAAUUCACGGGGCUGAUGAUUUGCUCUAGAGAUAACGGGGGCUCAUGGGGGUUCUGUAAAGUGUCACAGCCAGAAGCAAGGGUCCAAGUAGAGAUUGAGGUGAAGAGGUGGCCCAAAGGAGGCUGGGAUGUUUCAAGGAGGGAGGAAAGGGGCAGGUAUGCAACAGCGCCUGACACUUGGCUGGUUCAGGGGGACUAGCAGGGUAGAGGAGUGGUGGCCUAUUAUAUAUCAGCCCUGACCACUGGACCCAGACAGUAGGGCAGGGUGAGUGGGAGCCCACAGGAGGAUGGGCAGAGGAGAGCCAACUCCAGGUCCCACCGGGGUUCAAGGUGAUGUGGGCAGCGCCAAGCACAGGAGCUGAUAUCACCCCCACCCUGUAGAAGUCAUCAAAUGGGACCUUUUGUCUGAAGCUGCAGGGCUGCUACAAAUCUCGAAUGCCCCUGCCAGGUGGCCAUAGUGCAGGGGAAGGCAUCUGCACCCUGGAUGUUCCUGACCUGUCCCAGAAGCAGGCAGACGGCAAAAGUGAGGCCAGAGGGGGAAAUGACUUGCAAAAGGCUGCUUUGGGUCAGGGAUUCCAGCAGAAUGGGGCUAGCUCCUGUUUUUGUCACCGGCAUAAGGAAACGAUUGCAGGGGUGCCCAGGAAACUGAGGGCUCCAGGACAUUGGGUUGCGUUGUAGCUCAGCCUGGUCCCUGGGAGCCCAGUGGCAGCUCAUGACCAAAAGCACUCAGCCCCUCUUCACACCCAGGUUCCUUCUCCAGAGCCAUCACUUUUUGAGAACCAACCAUAUUCAAGGCCUGGUGUGAGCCUGUCCAGCUGAGUUCCACAACCCCAGGCUGGCCCGCACCCUCAGCCCUGAUAGUUUUCUAGGUCAGAGGCUCAGAGGGCCCCAUGUCAGAAGCCCUAGGUGUGUACCUCCCAGCAGGGCCAAGCUGCAGCAGCAAGGACAGCUGCCCCCAGAGACUCCUCAAGAUGCAGGAGCCCGGCCGGGCCACCUCUGCCGGCCACAAGGGUGGCCUUGCAAGGUGUUCCUCAAAGCAGCAUCUGCCCAUGCCCUUCCUUGUGUGUUUUCCUCCCUCUAGGGCCUCUACACUGUCUCCACCUCGCCCUCCCCAUGCCUCCCACUCCCUGAAGACCACAGGACUGGGGGGCAGACACCUGGGAUUCUAAUUUGGUAUGUGACCCCAGGCAACCCCUGGGAGGAUCAUGUCCUCAUCUGCAAAGUGGGGAGAAAGGGGGUUGCUGUGAUUCAGUGAGACAAUGCCUGGGCACAGGGCUGCCUGGCAUCCAGCAGGGAGUUUAAUAAAUGUCUGGCUUCCAAUUCCCGCCAAUGCAUUUCCCAGCCCCUCUCCUCCCUUCAAGCACUAAUUGUCUGAGUUACGAUCCUGCUUUGGUGUCUGGCUGCCUACAAGCAAAGUGAGGAGGUCUUGUUCGGUAGAACUGGUGAUGGGCUGAGAAUGGAGCCCUGGUCCACCCCUUAUUUCCAGAGACUUGGGAGGCAGCAUUGGCCUCAGCAUUGGCCUCCUCCUCUGGAAGGCAGCCACCCUCUCCAGUAACUGCAAACCAUGCCAGCAAACUGCAGAGUGCUUAAGGCCAGGCAUGAGAAUAGGUCAGAGGGCAGGGUUUGGGACCUGGCAUUCUCCAGGUGUUCUCGGGAGAAACAAGCCUGGAUGCCGAAUUGGACAACAGCAGGAUUCUGAGCACUUUGGGAGCUGUGUGUGAUGGGGGCUGUGUCUAGAUCCAAGGCCGGGAGGUGGUCAGGGCAGCAGCAGGAGGCGGACUGGAGGUCUGCAGGCAUUUUCGCAGGGCCUGAACUACAGCAAGGCCCACAGCCCAUCCUGCUGUGCCAGCCUUGGCCAUCUCCAAGUCAACCCCACCUUGAUCUCACCUCCCUCCCUCCCCAGAAGCCGGGGGCCAUUUGGUGCCCAGGCAUCAGCUGCAUGGCCAGACCCCGGACCCCCGCCCAGGAGUCCCUCUUUGCUCUCCUGGCUAGCCCCACCCUCCCAGGCACCAACUUGGGUGAAUCCCCGGCCUGGGGCUCCUCUACCCACCCACAAACACCAUUGAUGCUCCUCAGCAAGAGCCAACUUCUGGGUCCAAACAGCAGUACCCAGGAUACAGCAGGAUGAAUGCUGGACACAGCCUGGGGUGCGAGGGAGGUCAGAGAUACACACAAACCAAACUCUCUUCUCAUUAAAUAUAUAUAUGUAUAUAUACACACACACACAUACACUCAAGCAUGCCCCACCCACACUCAUUAGGCCUGGAGAGGGGCCUUCGCUUCUCCAUCUUUGGCAUCAAUCUAUCAAAAUCAGCUUUUCUGUACAAGACUGCUCAUUCCUUUCUGUACACCAUGAAUUAAAUAUAUUAUCUGUCUCUGCGCUGA